AUGGCGUCCAUCAUGGUGAUCGGCCUGGUGUUGCUCCUUGACAUCCUCGCCUUCGUCCUCGCCAUCGGCACCAAGCGCCGCCGGAGCACGGUGAGCCGCACCAUCUCCUGGCCAACUCGUUCAAGCAUCUAUCUAUGUAUGCGUAUGUGCUCAGGCCGGAGCCAUCGGUACGGCGUCGGCGCGCUCGCCCUGCUGCUGGUCGGGCAGACCGUCGCCAUGGUGGCCAGCCAGUGCUUCUGCUGCGGCCGCGCGCUCUCCCCCGACCGCUGGCGCUUCUUCUCCGGACUCUUCUUCGCCCUUUGCUGGCCUUUUGCGGUCGCACACCUGAUCGUGCUGAUUGAGCGGUGCGCUGGUGUUAGUUAA
rnacentral:rRNA from 1 species